CACGUCCGACAACUCCGAGGCGGCACGGCCUACGUUCCCCAGGGAAUACGGUCUGCCGUCCGUGGUCUUCGCGAUCACCAGGGCGACGCCGGAAACGACGCCGCCUCCCGGCCUUGGAAAGGAGCACAGACCAUGCAC
rnacentral:ncRNA from 2 species